rnacentral:rRNA from 1 species
AAUGAACGUUGGCGGCGUGGAUUAGGCAUGCAAGUCGAGCGAGAAGCUUCCUUCGGGAAGUGGACAGCGGCGAAAGGGAGAGUAAUACGUAGAAAUCUGCCCCGGAGUCUGGGAUAGCGUUGGGAAACUGGCGGUAAUACCGGAUAACGUCUUCGGACCAAAGAAUUUCGCUCUGGGAUGAGUCUACGACCUAUUAGCUUGUUGGUGAGGUAACGGCUCACCAAGGCGACGAUGGGUAGCGGGUGUGAGAGCAUGAUCCGCCUCACUGGGACUGAGACACUGCCCAGACAUCUACGGAUGGCUGCAGUCGAGAAUCUUUGUCAAUGGCCGAAAGUCUGAACAAGCGACGCCGCGUGCGGGAUGAAGGCCCUCGGGUUGUAAACCGCUGUCAGAGGGGAGGAAAUUUUGACUGAACCUCAGAGGAAGGAAGGGAGAAGGGAGGGAAAGAAGAAGAAGGAAAAC